rnacentral:rRNA from 1 species
AUGUUUCUUUGGGGUUUGAUAAAGAAUUUGGUCUGCCCGUUGGUGUUCUGAAAGGCUGCAGUAUUUUGACUGUACAAAGGUAGCAUAAUCAUUAGUUCUGUGAUUUGGAGCUGGUAUGAAUGGCUGGACGAGGACAAGCUGUCUUAUUUAUAUAACAGUGAAUUUUUUCUUUUUGUGCAAAAACAAAAAUUAAUUAGAAAGACAAGAAGACCCUUUUAAACUUUAAUGUAAAUAUUUUAAGUGUGGGGUAUAAUAUUGUAUAAAAUAGUAACAUUUUUGCUGGGGCGGCAAGAUAUUGAAACAAUAUCAAGUAAUGUAAGAUAAUAUUUUUCGUUAAAAAGAUCUUAUUGGGUUGAUUUAUAGAACAAGUUACUAAAGGGAUAACAGCAUAAUAAGUUUUAAUAGCUCUUAUUGACAAUUUUGUUUGUGA